UACGUAGGGUGCAAGCGUUGUCCGGAAUUAUUGGGCGUAAAGAGCUCGUAGGCGGUUUGUCGCGUCUGCUGUGAAAACGCGAGGCUCAACCUCACGCCUGCAGUGGGUACGGGCAGACUAGAGUGCGGUAGGGGAGAUUGGAAUUCCUGGUGUAGCGGUGGAAUGCGCAGAUAUCAGGAGGAACACCGAUGGCGAAGGCAGAUCUCUGGGCCGUAACUGACGCUGAGGAGCGAAAGCGUGGGGAGCGAACAGG
rnacentral:rRNA from 1 species